GACGAACGCUGGCGGCGUGCUUAACACAUGCAAGUCGAACGGAAAGGCCCUGCUUUUGUGGGGUGCUCGAGUGGCGAACGGGUGAGUAACACGUGAGUAACCUGCCCUUGACUUUGGGAUAACUUCAGGAAACUGGGGCUAAUACCGGAUAGGAGCUCCUGCUGCAUGGUGGGGGUUGGAAAGUUUCGGCGGUUGGGGAUGGACUUGCGGCUUAUCAGCUUGUUGGUGGGGUAGUGGCUUACCAAGGCUUUGACGGGUAGCCAGCCUGAGAGGGUGACCGGCCACAUUGGGACUGAGAUACGGCCCAGACUCCUACGGGAGGCAGCAGUGGGGAAUAUUGCACAAUGGGCGGAAGCCUGAUGCAGCAACGCCGCGUGCGGGAUGACGGCCUUCGGGUUGUAAACCGCUUUCGCCUGUGACGAAGCGUGAGUGACGGUAAUGGGUAAAGAAGCACCGGCUAACUACGUG
rnacentral:rRNA from 1 species